rnacentral:rRNA from 1 species
CAGCCGCCGCGGUAAUACGUAGGUGGCAAGCGUUGUCCGGAAUUAUUGGGCGUAAAGGGCUCGCAGGCGGUUUCUUAAGUCCGAUGUGAAAGCCCCCGGCUCAACCGGGGAGGGUCAUUGGAAACUGGGAAACUUGAGUGCAGAAGAGGAGAGUGGAAUUCCACGUGUAGCGGUGAAAUGCGUAGAGAUGUGGAGGAACACCAGUGGCGAAGGCGACUCUCUGGUCUGUAACUGACGCUGAGGAGCGAAAGCGUGGGGAGCGAACAGGAUUAGAUACCCCCGUAGUCCCUGUCUCUUAUAC